GUAAAUUUGAAAUUUAGUUGCUUCACAUUUUAUGCUGAGUUUAUUUGUCUCCGUCACACAAAUUCAUUUGUGUUUAUGUUUGUUCCAUAUAUAUAUAUAUAUAUAUAUAUAAAUAUAUAUAGAGUUGAGCUGGAAUACUAUCGAUAGCAAACCGACUCGGUUGCCACCCAUUUAUUUUCGAUGAUGAAGCUUUCGAAUCGACGAUCGACACCGUUAAACAUGAUCUAUACCACUUAAAGUGUCUAGAAAUCAAAUUUCAUGAUUUUCAGAUGUUAUUCUCUUGUCCAUCAAGUGGGAGUAAAAAUGAACGGCUGAAAAUGAAUAUCCUCUAAAAAGUGAUGAUAGAAAUUUUAUAAUCAAGAUCGAAAGUAUAGAUCUUGUUCUAAAUAGUUUAAAGAAUUUUCUAAUCAAAAUUCAAUUAAUUUGGAUAGUUUUACACCGUUAAACGUGAAAACACUUCAUAUCUACUAUUAAAAUUAUAAAUUUUGAAACUUUUUGAUCAUUAGGUCAAUGAUAUUGAAGAGAUUUAAAAUUUGGUUUCUAAAUACUUCAAAUGGUAUAGAUUAUAUUCAACGGUGCUGAUCGUCAAUUCGAAGGCUCCAUCAUCGAAAAUAAGUGGGUGAUAACAGUACCCGUUUGCUAUCGAUAGCAUUUUAGCUCAACUCUCUCUCUCUCUCUCUCUCUCUCUCUCUCUCUCUAUAUAUAUAUAUAUAGGUAAAGUAAGUGUGAAAGAUAUUUCUAAUUAAUUAUAGGAGCUGUUAUGGAGGUACAGUUAGGGGCUGUUUGAUUGGAUGUAGUUGCAGAAACAGUGUAGUUGGAAAUACAUACAGUUGCAAAUGCUGCAGUUGUAACUACACCUAGUCUGUUUGGUUUUACGCAGUUGCAACUGCUGCAGUUACAUUUUUUUGUUUGGUAAUAUGAAGCUGAUAGUUGUAUUUGUGAAUUUUGUCACCUUUUCAGAUAGAGUGGUGAGAUUACUUUCACUAAACAUAAAAUAAUUGUAUAAGUUUAUUAAUCAUUUAAAUUUACUAUUUAUAAAUAAAUAAGUAGAUAUAUAUAAUAUUCUUCAACUUAUUAAUCGACACAUUUAAAAUUUUUAAUUUAUUUAAUUUUAAUAUGUAAAUCAAACUUUAAAAUUUAAACGAUUCUCUCAUUUUUUUUAUCAAAUUUAAUAAUUAUAAUUAAUUAAAACUUAUUAAAUUAACAUACACGAUCACAUUCUAUAAAAAUUUUUUAAAACAAUUAUAUUUAUAUUUUAAAUAAAAUAAAUUUAAAAAAUUUAAUUUUUUUGCACAAAACUUGUAUUGUCUAAAAAAUUUUAUUAGUAUGAGUUUAUUUACAAGUAUUUUUAUUUACUUAUAUACAUAUAUUAUUUAUUUAUUUAGCUAUUUAUUUAUUUAUUUAUUAUUGUUAAUUUGUGGGUGAUUCUAUCCCUCACCAACUGCUGCAGUUGGAACUACGGCCAAUUUGGAUGUAGUUUCAACUGCAGCAUUUGGAUCUUCUUGUGUAGUUGGAACUACAGCAGUUGAACUUAACUACACUAAACCAAACAAAAGAAUUGAGCCUGCACUCAUUUGCAAUUGCAGUUGCAAAUACGUGCAACCAAACAGCCCCUUAGUGUGAGCGAGUGUAUAAUAAUAGUAGCAUGGAUAUUUUAUUUAGUGUUUUUUUUUUUUUGGGCACACUCACGGAGAGUACGAAGUAUUAAUAAUGUAUUUUCUCCAAGUUGUUCCAUCAGAAUACGAAUUACUGUGUGCGUGUAAGAGAUCGAACUGCACUAAAAUAAAAAUCACAAUUUAUCACCCAAUAACUUGCACUGUCCACCGAUAUCCAAAUGCAAUAAUCAAAUUUAAAUUUCGGUUGGAUGGUUAGAUUUGAAUUUGGAUCCUUUUCUCAUCUGAUGUAGUUAAACUCGAUCCAACCCAAAUAUUAAUUCUAGAUCUCCCUAGUUUUACCAACAUAUAUAGCCAUGUUAAUUUUGCCAUUCAAAUUAAAUGUUCUUACCAACUGUCUCUAGAGUAAAUGGUAAAGGACUUGGUUGGUACCCGAGAUCCAAGUUCGAAUCCUACUUGGUUCAUAUUUCCAGCUAAGUUUAUUUCUAAAUGAAAUAAACGAAGCGGGUUGCGUGUUACCUAUCUCUCAAAAAAAAAAAAAAGUUCUUUCAACAGUUAGGCUUUUUUUAU
rnacentral:lncRNA from 1 species